rnacentral:tRNA from 1 species
CCUGAUGUUUCAGAUGGUAAAGAAUCUGCCUUCAAUGCAGGAGGCCUGGGUUUGAUCCCUGGGUCAGGA